UUAAGACUGCUUGGAAACUGGUGAAAUGAAAUAUAUAAAUAGGGUGAAUUACCGUUUCCUACACAAGUUUUGGUCCAAGAACAUUUUUUCACCUUGAUGUCAUAAAAUCAUACUUUUCAUCCAAAUUAUAAUGCCAUUAAUAAAGCAAAAAUGCUAUGCGUACCCAGAAUGGGUACGUAGUCUGGUACCCACUAAUGCAGCAUCUGAUGUGGUAGAUGUCACCUCUACCACAUCAGACAUGCAAUUUUUUUUUUAAUUAUUAUUAUUUUACAUUUUACACCCAAAUGAGUAUUCACUCAAAACCUAAUUACAAAAUCUAAAAUUAAAAUAAGGCAUCUCAACACACCCAAGCAUCUAUCCCCAGGCUACCAUUAUCACCGUCAACCAUCACUUUCCGAAGCCACCAUCAGUUGUUGCUUUGUGAAACAACAGUCGUUCCAAUUCCAACGGUUACAAAAGGGAAAACUUGUGCUAUAAUUAAUAGACGUCCCUUCUACAAGUGUGCUGGGUGGUUUUUUGUCGGCUACUGCUGUCCUGCCUGGGCGUUAUUUUUUAUACAGAUGUGCUAUGAUGAUUUUUGGUUGGCUGUUGUGAUGGUCUUUUUUGGCUACCAUUGUUGAGUCUUGGUGUUGUGUCCUCCUCUGUUUUUUUUUUUUUUUUUCCAACUCAGUAACUUGUUGUUUACUAAGUGGAAAAUAGUGGGCUUUGUGUUCUACUGUAUGCAUCUCCUUGGGCCUCGGCAAUUUUGGCUAUCCUCUAGGGGAAAUAAUUGAAAUUUUGAGUAAUUCUGUUUGUUAGGUU